CACGUAGGGCGCAAGCGUUGUCCGGAAUUAUUGGGCGUAAAGGGCUCGUAGGCGGUUUGUCGCGUCGGGAGUGAAAACCUCGGGCUUAACUCGGGGCUUGCUUUCGAUACGGGCAGACUGGAGGUAUGCAGGGGAGAACGGAAUUCCUGGUGUAGCGGUGAAAUGCGCAGAUAUCAGGAGGAACACCGGUGGCGAAGGCGGUGGUCUGGGCCGGCACUGACGCUGAGGAGCGAAAGCGUGGGGAGCGAACAGG
rnacentral:rRNA from 1 species